GUCCUUUAGUUAAAAAUAAUUUAAGGUCUAACCUGCCCAUUGAUUUAUUAAAAGGCCGCAGUAAUUUGACUGUGCAAAGGUAGCAUAAUCAUUAGUUUUUUAAUUAAAAGCUUGUAUGAAUGGUUGGACGAGAUAAAAUCUGUCUCUUUAUAAAAAAUAGAAUUUAAUUUUUAAGUUAAAAAGCUUAAAUAUAAAUAAAAGACGAGAAGACCCUAUAGAUCUUAAUAUAAUUUUUUUUAGUAUUAAUUAAGAAAAUUUUAUUUAUUAAAAAAGAUUUUAUUUUAUUGGGGUAAUAAAAAGAUUAAUUAAAUUCUUUAUAAUUAUACAAAAAUUAUUGGUUUUUUGAUCCAUUAUUAAUGAUUAAAAGAUUAAGUUACCUUAGGGAUAACAGCGUAAUUUUUUUAGAGAGUUCAUAUCAAUAAAAAAGUUUGCGACCUCGAUGUUGGAUUAAAAGUAAUCUUAGGUGUAGAAGUUUAAGAUUUUGGUCUGUUCGACCAUUGAAUUUUUACAUGAUCUGAGUUUAGACCGGCGUAAGCCAGGUUGGUUUCUAUCUUUAUUAAUUUAAUAUAUUUUAGUACGAAAGGACCAAAUAUAUAAUAUAUACAUAUUUUAUUUUUGAAUAA
rnacentral:rRNA from 1 species